rnacentral:rRNA from 1 species
CUACGUGCCAGCAGCCGCGGUAAUACGUAGGUCCCGAGCGUUAUCCGGAUUUAUUGGGCGUAAAGCGAGCGCAGGCGGUUAGAUAAGUCUGAAGUUAAAGGCUGUGGCUUAACCAUAGUACGCUUUGGAAACUGUUUAACUUGAGUGCAGAAGGGGAGAGUGGAAUUCCAUGUGUAGCGGUGAAAUGCGUAGAUAUAUGGAGGAACACCGGUGGCGAAAGCGGCUCUCUGGUCUGUAACUGACGCUGAGGCUCGAAAGCGUGGGGAGCAAACAGGAUUAGAUACCCUGGUAGUCCACGCCGUAAACGAUGAGUGCUAGGUGUUGGGUCCUUUCCGGGACUCAGUGCCGCAGCUAACGCAUUAAGCACUCCGCCUGGGGAGUACGACCGCAAGGUUGAAACUCAAAGGAAUUGACGGGGGCCCGCACAAGCGGUGGAGUAUGUGGUUUAAUUCGACGCAACGCGAAGAACCUUACCAGGUCUUGACAUUGAKGACAGAACUAGAGAUAG